GUGGAUUAGAUACCCUGGUAGUCCACGCCCUAAACGAUGAACACUCGAUGUUGGCGAUAUACAGUCAGCGUCUAAGCGAAAGCGUUAAGUGUUCCACCUGGGGAGUACGCCCGCAAGGGUGAAACUCAAAGGAAUUGACGGGGGCCCGCACAAGCGGAGGAGCAUGUGGUUUAAUUCGAUGAUACGCGAGGAACCUUACCCGGGCUUGAAAGUUAGUGAAUGUGGCAGAGACGCCACAGUCCUUCGGGACACGAAACUAGGUGCUGCACGGUCGUAGCCAACU
rnacentral:rRNA from 1 species